CUGGUUGAUCCUGCCAGAGGUCACUGCUAUCGGGGUUCGAUUAAGCCAUGCGAGUCGAGAGGGUUCAGACCCUCGGCGGACUGCUCAGUAACACGUGGAUAACCUGCCCUAAGGCGGAGGAUAACCCCGGGAAACUGGGGAUAAUACUCCAUAGGUUAGAGAAACUGGAAUGUUCUUUAACUGAAAGUUGAGGCGCCUUAGGAUGGAUCUGCGGCCGAUUAGGUAGUUGUUGGGGUAACGGCCCAACAAGCCCAUCAUCGGUACGGGUUGUGGGAGCAAGAGCCCGGAGAUGGAAUCUGAGACACGAUUCCAGGCCCUACGGGGCGCAGCAGGCGCGAAAACUUUACAAUGCAGAAAACUGUGAUAAGGGAACCCCGAGUACCCGUAUACGCGGGCUGUCCAGGUGUUUAAAAUGCAUCUGAAGAAAGGGCCGGGCAAGACCGGUGCCAGCCGCCGCGGUAAUACCGGCGGCUCGAGUGGUGGCCACUUUUAUUGGGCUUAAAGCGUUCGUAGCUGGAUUUUUAAGUCUCUUGGGAAAUCCGCAGGCUUAACCUGCAGGCGUUUAAGAGAUACUGGGAAUCUAGGAACCGGGAGAGGUAAGAGGUACUCCAGGGGUAGAAGUGAAAUUCUGUAAUCCUUGGGGGACCACCGAUGGCGAAUGCAUCUUACCAGAACGGCUUCGACAGUGAGGAACGAAAGCUGGGGGAGCGAACCGGAUUAGAUACCCGGGUAGUCCCAGCCGUAAACGAUGCGCGUUAGGUGUACCGGUGACCACGAGUCACUGGGGUGCCGAAGGGAAACCGUGAAACGUGCCGCCUGGGAAGUACGGUCGCAAGGCUGAAACUUAAAGGAAUUGGCGGGGGAGCACCAC
rnacentral:rRNA from 1 species